rnacentral:rRNA from 1 species
ACAUCCAGCGAACUUGGCAGAGAUGCCUUGGUGCCUUCGGGAACGCUGAGACAGGUGCUGCAUGGCUGUCGUCAGCUCGUGUUGUGAAAUGUUGGGUUAAGUCCCGNAACGAGCGCAACCCUUUAUCCCUUUGUUGCCAGCGAUUCGGUCGGGAACUCAAAGGAGACUGCCGGUGAUAAACCGGAGGAAGGUGGGGAUGACGUCAAGUCAUCAUGGCCCUUACGAGUAGGGCUACACACGUGCUACAAUGGCGCAUACAAAGAGAAGCGACCUCGCGAGAGCAAGCGGACCUCAUAAAGUGCGUCGUAGUCCGGAUCGGAGUCUGCAACUCGACUCCGUGAAGUCGGAAUCGCUAGUAAUCGUGGAUCAGAAUGCCACGGUGAAUACGUUCCCGGGCCUUGUACACACCGCCCGUCACACCAUGGGAGUGGGUUGCAAAAGAAGUAGGUAGCUUAACCUUCGGGAGGGCGCUUACCACUUUGUGAUUCAUGACUGGGGUGAAGUCGUAACAAGGUAAGCGUAGCGAG